rnacentral:rRNA from 1 species
UGGGGAAUUUUGGACAAUGGGGGAAACCCUGAUCCAGCCAUCCCGCGUGUGCGAUGAAGGCCUUCGGGUUGUAAAGCACUUUUGGCAGGAAAGAAACGUCAUGGGUUAAUACCCCGUGAAACUGACGGUACCUGCAGAAUAAGCACCGGCUAACUACGUGCCAGCAGCCGCGGUAAUACGUAGGGUGCAAGCGUUAAUCGGAAUUACUGGGCGUAAAGCGUGCGCAGGCGGUUCGGAAAGAAAGAUGUGAAAUCCCAGAGCUCAACUUUGGAACUGCAUUUUUAACUACCGGGCUAGAGGGUGUCAGAGGGAGGUGGAAUUCCGCGUGUAGCAGUGAAAGGCGUAGAUAUGCGGAGGAACACCGAUGGCGAAGGCAGCCUCCUGGGAUAACACUGACGCUCAUGCACGAAAGCGUGGGGAGCAAACAGG